UACGGGGGGGGCAAGCGUUGUUCGGAAUUACUGGGCGUAAAGGGUUUGUAGGUGGCUUGUUAAGUCAGACGUGAAAUCCCUCAGCUUAACUGGGGAACUGCGUCUGAGACUGGUGAGCUUGAGUGCAGGAGAGGAACGCGGAAUUCCAGGUGUAGCGGUGAAAUGCGUAGAUAUCUGGAGGAACACCGGUGGCGAAAGCGGCGUUCUGGACUGCAACUGACACUGAAAAACGAAAGCCAGGGGAGCAAACGGG
rnacentral:rRNA from 1 species